ensembl:lncRNA
CCUGCCUACACUUCUAAAGAGAGGGACAUGAACAUCCUCACAGAUCUGUGCACACACUGGGGGAAAUUCCUCAAAGCAGAAUUGCUGCCUCCGAUCAGAUUCCCAUUUUUAAGGCUCAGGGUGAUUCUCCCACCUGUCCUCGGAACCACAGCGCCAGUUUCCAGGCCGGUGUGGAAAGGCCAUCUUCAAGGGUCCCUCAAGCUGGGCGGCUGGGAGGCCCCGCCCCUCUCCUGCAGAGAAUGGGGACAAAGCCCACCGCUCUGGCCACCGUGAGGACACACAUCGCAAUGGCUGUUCCACCUGAGCCAGGCGCAGCAGGAGGCGCUGGGGGAGGCCUGCACUGCUGGCAGGAUGGGGACCUCCCCCAAGACAAGCGCUCGGUGGCUCGGAGCUCGGAACCCGAUGCUGCCCGGAUACCGUUGCUGGCACAAAGGACCUCCAGUGUACCAAGAUGGAACCAUCCCCAGGGUGAGGGUCCCCCCUUUCAGGUGACCAGUUGACUGUGGGGCCCUCGGGAAGUUGGCGAGGACACUAUGGGUCACCUUGCGGAACUGGGGCCUCAGCCCCCUCCCCAAGUCCUGCUGUCCCCCACCAACCCGGGGACCACGUGGCCCAAUGGGGACAAAGUGGGGCCUCCCACAUCCUGUGCCCUCUCUUAAAGCAUCGAAAAGAAGUCUCGGAUCAAGACUCAUGACUCCCUCACAUCAGGUCACUUAACUUCUCUCAGCCUCGUCUCCACAACUGCAGAAGUGGAAUAACGCCACACAGCUUCCUCGCUGGGGAUUUGCCAAGACUCCACGGAGAGCCUCCUCCUCCUCCUCCUCCUCCUCCUCCUUGCCCUCGGCCUCCAGAAACUCAGGCUUCUGUCCCAGAGUACCCCCAAGGACCCCACGUGGUUCACACCGCACCCCCAGCCCUGUUCACCAACAUGACCACGAUGCAGUCGGCCAUGCCCAUCCAGUUCUCGUGUCCCUACUGCGGGAACUACAUCAUCACGGUGACCCGCCCGGUCCCGGGGGUCCUCACCUGGCUGCUGUGCACGGGGCUCUGCUUGUUUGGGUGUUUCCUGGGCUGCUGCUUCUUCCCCUUCUGCGUGGACAGCUUGAUGGACGUGAUGCACACCUGCCCUGUGUGCCAGCACCAGCUGUUCCGCUACCAGCGCCUGUGACCCCUGCAAAAUAAAUGUUGACCAGCGACCUUCAACCGCCCACCUCGAGCUCCUGCAUCUUUAUGAAACCGGCUCCCCACGCACCUGCCCCUCCCUCCUCCACCUCAUCCGGGCUCACGCCUGGCCCCCUGCCCUGCCUGGUUGACCAAUGACGUCCCGUUGCGAAACCCAGCAUCCACCUGCCUGGAUUCUCUGCAGCCCCUGAGCCUCAGGCUGCGGUCUUCCCUGCAGUCCGCAGGGCGCCCCGUGCGCCCUCUCUGCAAGCCCUUCACUGAUGCCCCCAGGGUGCUGUCUUGGGCCUCUUCUCGUUUGACAUCACUCCUGAGGCUUCUGUCCUCACCUCUGGCAUCCCACAGCCUCCACCCCCCCGCCCCCCAACAUUGGAUGCCCCAAGGGCCCCGCAAACCCCA